rnacentral:rRNA from 1 species
UCAGACGAUGCGUCAUGCAUAUCAAUAAGCGGAGGAAAAGAAACUAACAAGGAUUCCCCUAGUAACGGCGGGUGAAGCGGGAAGAGCUCAAAUUUGAAAUCUUAAAGGGUUUCCCUUUACGAAUUGUAGUUUAAAGAAGUGUUUUCUGUUGAGGUUUUGGUAAAAGUUCUUUGGAAUAGGACAUCAUAGAGGGUGAGAAUCCCGUAUUUGACCUUUACUUUCAACUUUGUGAUACACUUUCAAAGAGUCGGAUUGUUUGGGAAUGCAGUCCAAAAUGGGUGGUAAAUUUCAUCUAAAGCUAAAUAUUGGCGAGAGACCGAUAGCGAACAAGUACCGUGAGGGAAAGAUGAAAAGAACUUUGAAAAGAGAGUUAAACAGUACGUGAAAUUGUCAAAAGGGAAGCGUUUGACACCAGUGUUGUUUUCUCGAAAAUCAAUUAAAGAACUGUUUAUGCUAAGUUGUUUAGACUUUAUCAGCUAUACUGUUUAGUUUUGAGCUUUUCUUUAAUGCACUUUUCAGUUAACAAGUCAACAUCAAUUUCUUUUGCUGUAAAAAAGCUUGAGGAAGGUGGCUUGAGAUUCGUCUUAAGUGUUUAUAGCCUCUUGCCUAUGCAGUCGGAGAGAUUGAGGUCUGCAGGCGUAGAUCCUUCGGGGCUAAAUGCAUUUGUGCUAAGUUAUAGCAUUUUAUAGACAACUUGUUGACUAUGAUUUGUCUUGUAGCUUACUCGCUUAUGUUAUUUUACCUACGCUUAGGAUGUUGAGCGCAUGUCUCUCUCU